UAAUGCAGCUGUCUACUCCCCUGGAAAAGAAUAGAAAGGCAAGAGUGGAGAACAUCUGUUAAAUAAGCUUGAGAAGUAAGUGCAAACAAGAAGUGCCAUGAUGUGCCUCAGCUUCUGAGCACUUAAUUCCAGGCAUCUAGUGAUCUGUCUCUGACUUCACCAUUACAACAUGAUGACUUCAUAGCUGGGUUCAACGUGUCAAGAAUGCUAUUAAUCUUUCCCCGCUUGGGUUCAUAUAACUCUCAGGUGAGCAAAGAACAUCCUUCCAGAGCAAGUCUGUAAAAAGCUCCUGCCUUCUUGAAAAUUGCUCUGAAGAAGACACACCUUUACCACAGGGCCUACUGGAAACUGCCAAAUGAUAAUGGCCAGGAAGAGGGGUGGUGUUCUGUCAAAGGAUCUAAUUUACUUAAUUGUUUAGCCAAAAGCUGAAAUGUCUGGAAACCACAAAGUCAUGGCCCUUAGAAGUCCGCAUUGUUCUGUACUCUCACAACAUUAUAAUAGAGUGAUUUCAUCACCGUUAUUUUCAUCUUUUCUCUUUUCUUUUUAAAUAGUAAACUAGUGAGGCUGUCCUAUAGAAUGAUGGCUCUGUAGAAUAUAUUGAAUAUCCUUUACUGGACCAAGUAAUUGUAUAAAAUAGGAAUGCUCUCCAAACCUUAACUUUAGGGAGAGUUGUUUAGAGCAACAACAACAUUAAAAUCCUCCUCUGCCUUUAACAACAGCCCAACAUGCAGAUGUAGUUGGAGAAGCUUAACCUGCUAUAUGUCUCUGGAUCAGGCUAGUGAUAUAGGCACAGUAAAAAUAAAUAAAUUUAAGUGGCAAGUCUAGUUUUUGACCAGAGGUUAUAGCAUAACAAAAACGACCCUGAACAACUUAGCAUCAUCAGCAAAUUUGGCUACCGCACUGCUUACCCCUAGCUCCAUCUCAUUUAUGAACAAGUUAAAAAGAACAGUGCAGAUGACAGAAUUAGAUAAGCUUAUGCUAUGCACUUCUGUAUUGAAUAAACAUGACGGAAAACAUUUUAGAGAAAGCAUUGUGUUAUUAGCGCCAUUUGUGCAGUUUCAUGUAAUAUUGCAAUGUCAGAUAUCGGCCAAUCAUGGAUGUUAUUGAUUGGGCAUUUUCUGCUUAUUGACCUGAUGAUUUCAAGCAGGUUCAACACAGUUUGAUUUGUGUUCUUUUCGGAACAUAAACCCACGAUAAAAGGUUGGCGGUCAUUUGGUCCGAUUGCUGGUGAUUUAUCUGUUCAGAAGAAUUUUAGGUCUGGGAAGAGGGGGCUGACCCAUUAAUUUGGCAAGGAAGGUGGCAGAAUUGGCCAUCAGAAAUAGUUCUGAGUGCCUCCACUUUCUUGCCAAUAACACUUGUCAAAUCUUUCAAGGCCAGUUAAUUUUUUCGGGGGGGGGGGGGAAUCACUAUUAAUAUGCAUCAGAAAAGAAGGAAAGCUAUAAUUAAAGAGAAUGUGGCUUCCUAGGCCCUGGGCUGUCCAUCAUAUAUGGAGAGCGAUUCUGCUUAAAGCUGACGUCUUGUUUAGCAUUGAUAAUUCUAGAAAGAGUCCAAUUAAAGUAUUUCAAGAAGACAUCCCAGUGCAACUCUACAUUGAUUGUGUUGCUAAUGUAUAUUGAGUUUUAGCUAAAUACAGCCCCAGGUGCUGUACUGGAAAGCACAGGAGCUUGCUGUCCAAAGCUCUUAAUCUUUUUUGUAUCGAUUUGGCCGCUAAUGAUAUAACCUUCUCCUCUAAUUAACUGACAUCUGCAUUAGGCGGAACAAGAACUCCCCUUUACCAGACUUUGCCCACCUGUUACCUACUCAAGUUUUUGUGUUGAGAAAUAUGGCCUCCUUCUCGGUGGUCAUUGUUCCCAAAUCUCAUUCCCCACAAGGACCAUCGUGGGAGAGAACUGCAUGCCCUCCAAGUGUCCAGGGACAGUCUUCAAAUUCUGAAAGCCAUCCUGGCUUCUGAUUUGAUCCCAGAACAUCCCUGUUUCCCUUGUCAGUGCCAAACUCAGGGAGAAGGUUGAGCUGGUGCUUGUCCCAAGUGACAGCAGCGGUGGCAGCUGUGAGGGAGCAUCCCAUUGCCUCUCCAUGGCCGUUGCUGCCAGCCUCCUCCCUUGGGCAGCUUGUAGCAGCUGCUGGAGAGCAGACGAGGAGGACGAGAGGCUGUAGCUGCUGAGGCCUAACUCGCUGUGUUGCACCACCUCUAAGGUGCAGGCAGAGGGCAGGGCCACCCUGGGUGGAACGAAAGGGGGAGCAGAAUGGAGCGGAGCACAAGGAGUCUUGAUUUUUAAAAUGCUUUGUGCCUCCACAUCUAAUCUUGCCCCAUUCUAAAAUUUAUAAAUUGGCGUGCGUUUUUAGUUUUGCAAAUCUACCAAAGGUUUGUUUGAUAAUGGGAGCUAUCAGCCAGGGAGAAGACAAUGCCAGCAUGGAGGGAGAAGUUACCAGGGUAACGCAGGGUGGGGACGACAGGAAAAAAGGUGUCCUUUUAAACUGAGGUUCUGAGCAAGGGGUUUGGGGAAGGAGAAAGGAGGGGCCAGAACUGGCUGGGAGAUACUGCACUGAAAUAUCAGGGGACAUGACUAGC